UUGAUAGCUGGGUUACAACCAGUUUCCAAAAGUAUUCGGGUUAAUUUUCUCCGUCCCAUGGCUGAUGAUAUAUGUAAUGCAGUGUCUCCAUUCUGAAAUUAUAAUAGUGAUAAUAAUACAUUUGAAAGGGUUGAUUAUAGUUUUAACAGAUCUUAUGUUAAAUCUAAACAAAAGCAACAGUUUGUUACAUCAGAUCUGCAAAUUUGCUCACGAAUUCGGUGAGAUUCUGUUGCCAAAUGAUGAUUUAUAGCCUUAAGGGUAAGAUGAUGAGGAUAAGCCGGAUUUGGAUAAAGUAAAAUCAUCGAUAAACAGCAACAACAUGAAAGAUUGUCUGAUUUUGAAGUAGCAAACCCACUCAUCGGAAGAGCAGGCUUACAAUUAAAAUCUUACAGAUACAGAUGGACAUACUCAAAAAUUUUCACAAAGAAGCGCUUCAAGGGGUUAAAUGAUUGAUUUGAUUGAUCAUCUAAAGCAUUUUCAUUAGAAAGUUGGAAAAAGAUUUCAUCUAAUAAUGGGAAUAAAUAUUUACAGCUUCAAGGAAAAAGUCUAUUGAACGAGAAAACAAGCUUCAAAUUAAAUUCAACCGCUCAUUUCAUCAUGGAAACUCGGGUCAAGUUUAUCCAGAAAAAAUUUUGAAAUUGAACAGCAAAAUGAAAGGAAUACUGAAUACCGAAUGAAAUGAAAUUGCUUACCUUGUUAACUUCAUUGACAUUACAAAAAGCGCUAAUCAAAAUGCGGACUACACCAGCAUGUCCAUAUCUGGCAGCAGUAUGAAGUGGAGUAUCGCCAUACUAAUUGAAAGAAAAAAAGAUAAAGCAAUUAAGAUGAUAAUUAGUUUACAAUUAGACUCAUCAUUGAAAAUCAUAAAUCAUAAUUAGUGAAAGUUAGUUGACCUUUUGAUGGUUGCAUUUCAAUAAUUUAUGUGAUAACAAAUUAAUCAAACCAGAGGAGCAACCAGGACGAACAGGAAUAAUGAGUUAAUUAGAGCAACAAGUUGAUGAAUAAUCUUCAAUUAUUGGUCUUUUCAUUAUUACUAAUUCAAAGGCCUCAAGGUUGAUUAAACAUUUGCACGAUUGGAAAUCAACAUGAAAAAUAACACGAAAUCAAGUAAAAUCAAAGCAUCACUAUUAUUAUUUUGAUGUUCAACCUGAUGAUGAUAAUAAUGAUGAGAAGAUGGUAAAAGAUGAAAUACGAACGGAAAAUGUAUACAACUUUGAUAUCUAUUGGGUGGCCUCAAUCAAGUUACAUUUCAAGUAAACAUUAAUAGAUCAAGAAUUGAAUUGACCUGAUUGACCCGAAAGGUAGUAAAAAAUGUUCAGUAGCACUUUCAACUUUAUUAAAAUGUCAAUUAUUAUUAUUUUCAUUUGACGGAUCAACUCACGAGGCUAUAAAGUAUUCAUUAUCAUCAUCAUCAUGUUUCACUUAACCUCCCAAGAAAUUGGUUUUAACGCAAUUCGCUCAACAAUUUACGCAGACUUUUACAAUUUAAACCUUAAACUGGUAAAACAAGUCAAAAAAGAUUCCAACAAUUUAACCUGAUAAAAAAUAGCAAAUAAUUUACCAAAGACAAUAUAAUUACAUAGGCUUACAUUUUAACAUUUUUCAGGUUUAACAAUGCUCCAGUUUGUAAACUAUUAAAGAUUGAAAUGACAGGAUUAAA